rnacentral:rRNA from 1 species
GACGAACGCUGGCGGCGCGCUUAACACAUGCAAGUCGAGCGAAGCGGCGGACGGGUGAGUAACACGUGAGUAACCUGCCCUAGACAUUGGGAUAGCCUCGGGAAACCGGGAUUAAUACCAAAUGGUCUAAGAUGGACUCGCGUCCCAUUAGCUAGUUGGUGGGGAACGGCCCACCAAGGCGACGAUGGGUAGCCGGCCUGAGAGGGUGAACGGCACCAUUGGAGCUGAGAAACGGUCCAAACGCUACGGGAGGCAGCAGGGGGGGAUAUUGCACAAUGGAGGGAACUCUGAGGCAGCGAAGCCGGGUGAACGAAGAAGGCUUUCGAGUCGUAAAGUGCUUUUAUAUGGGAAGCGGUACCAUAAGAAAAAGCCCCGGCUAACUACGUGCCAGCAGCCGCGGUAAUUC